rfam:Lachnoclostridium sp. YL32, complete genome.
CUGUCUUGGGAUAUUCCUACUCAUCGGUGCGUAUGAAGUAAUUCAUGGGUGCUAAGCAGAUGAAGACAAUGUGACAAAUCCCCUAUCCACAUGGAGAAGAGUUG